UACGUAGGGGGCAAGCGUUGUCCGGAUUUAUUGGGCGUAAAGAGCGUGUAGGCGGUCAGGUAGGUCCGUUGUGAAAACUCGAGGCUCAACCUCGAGACGCCGAUGGAAACCAUCUGACUAGAGUCCGGAAGAGGAGAGUGGAAUUCCUGGUGUAGCGGUGAAAUGCGCAGAUAUCAGGAGGAACACCGAUGGCGAAGGCAGCUCGCUGGGACGGUACUGACGCUGAGACGCGAAAGCGUGGGGAGCAAACAGG
rnacentral:rRNA from 1 species